rnacentral:tRNA from 2 species
GUCGCAUUAGUCUAUCGGUUAGGACAUCGGGUUUUCAUCUCGACGGGAGGGGUUCGACUCCCCUAUGCGAUA